ensembl:lncRNA
CCCUGGAAAAACUAUCUUUUCACUUCCAACACUGAAACACAAUACUUGGACCUUGCAGAAAACAAAAUAAUUAUUUGCCCUGGGGCUGUUGUUAUUUGUCUGUUUUUUUCCAAGCUGAAACUUAGGAUAUUUUUUUCCCCCUUUAAUUAAAUUUGGUUUGCUGUAAAUCCCUUUCUGGUGCCUUCAGUGUUCCUCUAAAAGGCAGGGCCCAGGCUGCAGCUCUGUGCCCAUGGCUCCAAGGCUAAACAAUACCAUGGAGGGGGGGAGCAGAGGGUAAGCCCAGCUAAUCAGGACUUGCCUAAUAGGACUGAGUGCUUAAUGAGAACCCAGGGACUCUGUUGCCCUAGCUGGAUUUGGCUGGAAGAAAAUGCUUUAUGCUCUCAACAUCAGGUCUGAGACGCCUCACUUCUCUCAAAUGUGCUGGAGCAGUGUUUUCCCCCUCCUGUGAAUCCAUCCUCACUGGACACAAGACAGAUCUCUGAGGGAUCCUUGGAGAUGCAGAGAUGCUGGAGGAGCUGAACAAGACCCUGGAAGCAAAAAGAUCCAUGUUUUUCUUGAAGGAAGAUUUUUCAAACCAAAACAGUGUUUAUACCUUGAUUUUCCUAAGCAAAGCCACCAAAGGGCCCUGCCCACUCCCUUCAUGUCCUUGGAGCUCCCUGAGGAGCUUUAGGAGGAUUUUCGGGAUUGACUUCAAUAAAUAACAGCAAAUGUUCCACUGUUUUGCCCUGGAGACCUGUUCAGAUUGUCUCUGCCCCCACUGCUACACCCCCAGAUUGAGCUGGAGUGUGGUUUUGGGAAAGGGGUGGGAUAGGGAAGGCACCCUAUGCCUCGGGCCUUUCCUGGUUAAUGAGGGAGAUUUGGGGUUCAGCAUGUUGGGAUGCAGAACGAGGUGUCAGGGUUGCAGGGUGUGCACAGGGGGGUGGGUGCUGGGACACAGGUGGGUGCUGGCUACAGGGGAGCCCAGAUGUGAGGUGGGUGCCAAAACCAGGGUGUGCCUCCACCCGCUGUGGAGUGCUCAGGUGUGCUUGGGGCAAGCAGGAGCCGUGACUGGGGUUGGGUUCUCUGUCUGGUGCCGGGCUGGGUCCUGGGUCCCGGUUCGCUGUGCUGAGCUGGAGCAGGGCUGGAUCCAGGUCCAGGGCUGGGGCUUGGUCCAGAGAAGGGUCCGUGUCCAUACCCAGUGCCAGGUCUCGGCUCUCAGCCUGGGUCCACAUCUGGGCCUUCCAUCGCACGCUGGGUCCAGGUCCCGGCGGGGCCGGUGCCGUGUCCAGGGCUGGGGUCAGGUUUGGUGCCAGUACUGGGGCUGGGUCCGGGUCUGUGUCCGUGCCCAGGUCCGGUCCGGCCUGGGUGCUGGGUCUUGGUUUGGGUGCGGAUCUGUGACUGGGUGCAGGUCUGGUUCUGUGACCAGGUCCCGGUGCGAUGAGGGUCGGGGCGGCGCCGGAUCCUGAUGCCAGUCCCGGUGCUGGUCGGUGCCGAUGCUGGCCCCAGUCCCGGUGCGGGUCGGAGCGGUUCUGGGUCUGGUCCCGUUCCCGGUGCGGUGCCGGCGCCGUUCCCCCGUUCCCGGGUCCGGUCCCAUUGCCAGAGCGGAGCCGGGGCGGUGCCGGGUCCGGAGCGGUGCCAGUCCCGGUGCGGGCCGGGGCGGUGCCGG